GCUGUAGACCUACUUACAUUGGUUUAAUUCCUUUCUUUAUCA
rnacentral:tRNA from 1 species